GUUCGGCCCUCGGCGGACUGCUCAGUAACACGUGGAUAACCUGCCCUCAGGUGGGGGAUAAUCUCGGGAAACUGAGGAUAAUACCCCAUAGGCCAUUGAUGCUGGAAUGCUCUCUGGCCGAAAGCUCCGGCGCCUGAGGAUGGGUCUGCGGCCUAUCAGGUAGUAGUUGGGGUAACGGCCCAACUAGCCUGCGACGGGUACGGGCCUUGAGAGAGGGAGCCCGGAGAUGGACUCUGAGACACUAGUCCAGGCCCUACGGGGCGCAGCAGUCGCGAAAACUUCACACUGCGGUAACCCGCGAUGAGGGAACCCCAAGUGCCUGGGCAUUAGCUCAGGCUGUUCACCUGUCUAAAAAACAGGUGGAGUAAGGGCUGGGUAAGACCGGUGCCAGCCGCCGCGGUAAUACCGGCAGCCCAAGUGGUGACCAUUUUUAUUGAGCCUAAAACGUCCGUAGCCGGUCCGGCAAAUCCCUGGGCAAAUCGGGCAGCUCAACUGUUCGACUUCCAGGGAGACUACCGGACUAGGGACCGGGAGAGGCCAGAGGUACG
rnacentral:rRNA from 1 species